rnacentral:misc_RNA from 1 species
GAAAUGCGAUAAGUAGUGUGAAUUGCAGAAUUCAGUGAAUCAUCGAAUCUUUGAACGCACAUUGCGCCCUUUGGUAUUCCUUAGGGCAUGCCUGUUCGAGCGUCAUCUAACCCCCUCAAGCACUGCUUGGUGUUGGGCGCCUUGUCCCGCCUCUGGCGUGGACUCGCCUCAAAAGCAUUGGCGGCCUGUGUAUUGGCUUCGAGCGCAGCAGACUCGCGCCUCGCAACCCUCUGGCACGGGCGUCCAUCAAGAUGCACCCCAAAGUUUGACCUCGGAUCAGGUAGGGAUACCCGCUGAACUUAA